rnacentral:rRNA from 1 species
AUACGAAGGGUGCAAGCGUUGUUCGGAUUUACUGGGCGUAAAGAGAGUGUAGGUGGUUUAUUAAGUCGGAUGUGAAAUCCCGGGGCUCAACCUCGGAACUGCAUUCGAUACUGAUAGGCUAGAGUUUGGGAGGGGUAAGCGGAAUUCCGUGUGUAGCAGUGAAAUGCGUAGAUAUACGGAGGAACACCUGAGGCGAAGGCGGCUUACUGGACCAAUACUGACACUGAGACUCGAAAGCGUGGGUAGCAAACAGGAUUAGAAACCCCAGUAGUCC